rnacentral:lncRNA from 12 species
AAAAAAACCUCCUUAAACUGCUGAAGUUAAAGCUCCAAAAUCACCUGGGGGUCACAGAGGCUGAAAAUUGUGUUUGGAGCAGAAUGGGGAGGCAAAUUCCCGAUGGGGAGCCCAAAGGAAUCCCCGAGUGUGGCUGGGGGCACUGCAGGAGUCGGGCAGAAUCUCCCCAGGAAUGUCCCAGAGUGUUUCAGGUUUUGGGUGAAGAACUGACCGCAGGCAGAGCUGGGAGUGGAGAGAAACUCCUUGGUCUCACAGCAACUCCUGCCUUGCAAAAAUCAACCUCCAGCAGAGCUCAAGGCACUCCAAGGGAAGGGACAGACAGAGACUCAGAUCCCAGCCCAGGACUGUGAGCUGUGGCAAUCUCUCCUUCCUGCUCCUUCCUCGCUUCUCCCUGGUUUGUGCUGAAAUGAAAGCCACUUUUGUGCCCUUAAUUUCAAUCCAGCACCGUUUCCAUGUUCACCUGGGAACAGUACAAAACUCCAGCCAGCACCACGUACGGAUUUCCAGACAAAUCCUCGCUUCUAAUUAAAAUAAACAAUGGAUUCCUCAGAGCCACGAGAUCGUCAAUAAAAAAAAAAAAAAAAAAAAAAAAAAAAGGGGGGGGGGUCCAAAAAAAAAAAAAAAAAAAAAAAAAAAAAAAAAGAGAGUGAGGGAAGAUAAUAGUUUAAUUAACAGAAUCUGGCAGCUGCCCAAAGUACACUGUGGCAGUUGGAGGGUGGGAGCUGGGGGAGGUUGGGAUGUGGAAGAGCCAAAUCUCUCAGGAUGGGUCUUGCAGGAAAAUGCCAGUGAUGCUUCAGUGAGCACCAUCAGGUGUCUGCAACAGCCUGGAUGUGCUGCCCUUGGGGGGGGGGGGGGGGGGGGGGGGGGGGGGGGG